AUGCUCACUUCCGCAGCACACAUACUAAAACUGGAAUGAUACAGAGAUUAGUAGGACUCCAGGGAUGACACAAAUUCAUGAAGCCUUCCAUAUUUUU
ensembl:snRNA U6 U6 spliceosomal RNA